ACGAACCAACUACCAAGUUGACUUUAACUUCCAAAGUUUACCGCGUUGACUAACGUUAAACUGGAUAUAGGAUCACUUCAUCAAGUUAACUGUUAAACAUGUAACGUUAACUUAGUAGAAGCUGAGUUGUGACUCGAGCCUUAUUUCAAUGAGUAACGCGAGACAACACGGAUCAAACUCGUAAAGUUACGGUAGUCCUUAUUCUUCAGGAACGCUGGUUAAUUUUUACUUCCUAGGUUCACGCAAAACGAUACAGAUAGCAGUUUAAAGCAUCACGGUAACCUUAACGUUACUGGAAAGUUUUGACCCCGUUAGCAAGGUGGCGUAAGCUAGCCCCAGUUCUCAAUGUUUAACAAAGUAUAUGCGUUAGGUACCGCUAUCCACGGGAGAAACAGGUAUGUCGACUUCUCUAUAUCUUCUCCAACAAGACGUUUCCCAAAGUUCACAUGUUAGUUUGGUCGCCUGUUUCCCACGUAACUUCAGCUAAGCUAAAGUUAGCCAGUUAGCCAGCAGUCCGAACAACAAAAUCAAAAUAUGAGGAUGAGACUGGAUGUCGUUAUCUAGAAGUGCUAACGUUACAACUCACUCCCCUAAGAAAUGGCUAACGUCAUACUGCAAGCAUUGAUCGGAACUCGUACUGAGAAACAAACAUGGUGACUUUGGUGAUGUACCUCCCCAGCUGGACUCGUCUCUCCAGCUCGCUCAUCUCCACUUCUGCCUCCAGUGUGGCAGGACCCUGAACAGGGCUCACCAGCAUCAGCUGGCCUGUCUGACGGUCUGAACGCUGGACCGUGAAGUGGCGCCGGGCUAGCUUUCCCCCCAGCAGGGAGAAGCGAAGUGUAUCACCCAUUGGACGUAAUGCUGAGACCCUGAACAUGACGCGGGGAGCUGACAGGUUGGACACCACAGCCAGAUAAUGGUAGGAGAAGGAGUUCGGGGUCUGAGAGCAUGCCUUAUUGUCCACAGGACAGGGGUUACGUUCACAACGCCUGGAAAAAGAAGUGCAAACUGAGGAAGAUGUAGCUGAACGAGUUCAUCCAAAUGUGUGUGAAUCUAUGGAAUCAAACUAGUUAUACUGUCAAGGUUUGUCGAAGAUUCAAUUCAAAGGAUAAUGCUCACAUGGGCGACGUCUUGACAUAUGUUGCGUUAGGGAUUUUGGGACAGUCCACACGGACACACUGGAAACCACCGUACGUAUUAAUGCACAUCUGGUCCUUUGUGCAGUUGUUUUGUCUGGUGGCGCACUCAUCAAUGUCUGUAAUAAAACAUCAACACAGAAAGACUUUAAUUUAAACUUUAGUGGGGAAUCAUCAUUAUCGUACUGUACGAGAAUUACAUUCUUCAUGUUUUGCAAAGUGGAGACAUUUUGAUAGGAGCCAUUUUUAAAGAAACCCCUGUAAAGAGUCUCAAAUGUUUGAGCUCUAAUAAAAAGAAUUAUUUAAUGUCUA